GUUCUCAGUAGGCAUUUGACAACACCUCUGGCAUCAGCACCUAAUCAAACAGAUUCAUGAGCUCACUUUGAACUAGGAGAGACUUUAGCACUGGUCCAUGUGCCAUCUGCUUGUGUCAAUGACAGAUGAAAAAUGACAGAAGAGAUACUGCUUUUAAAAAGAAAGUAGAAAUAAGAGAGAAAAGAAAGAUGGUGCAAAAAGAAAAGAGAGACGGUGUCAUUGUCAACACUGAAAAUUAAUGACAUCUAGAAAAUCUAUUUAUAUCUGUUGCAUAAGGGUCUAAAUUAACUGCAGUAUUUUCAAUCCAAGAGUACUCAAGUUUUGGAAACAUGUUGAAUAUGGGAGA